ACCCCCCCCCUAAUUUGUACCCCGUAGGACCCCGAGGGCAAACCCAAGAAGGCGUCGAUCCGCGACAACGGGGACGGGACGUACACCGUGUCCUACGUGCCCGACACCACCGGCCGCUACACCAUCCUCAUCAAGUACGGCGGCGACGAGAUCCCCUACUCCCCGUACCGCAUCCGCGCCGUCCCCGCCGGCGACGCCAGCAAGUGCACCGUCACCGUCUCCAUCGGAGGUCACGGCUUAGGCCCGGGGCUGGGCCCCACCAUCCAGCUGGGGGAGCAGACGCUGCUGACGGUGGACGCCAAGGCCGCGGGGCCGGGCAAGGUGACGUGUGCCGUGCGGGCGCCCGACGGCGCCGAGGCCGACGUGGACGUGGUGGAAAACGCCGACGGGACCUUCGACAUCUUUUACACCGCCCCCCAGCCAGGGAAGUACAUCAUCUGCGUGCGCUUCGGGGGGGAGCACGUCCCCAACAGCCCCUUCCAGGUCA